UAAAAACGGACUGACCGAAGCCUGCACUAGCCUUCUAACAGGCUUUGAGGUAUCGCUGCAGGCUGCCACUGCCCAAGUUGAUCUCCGGACUGAACCAGAAACUCGAACGGACCGAGGAGGAGCUCGGGCACGUGAAGAAGCAGUUGGAGGAGAGCCAAGGGGCCACGACCGAGGUGGUCGCCCUUAAGAAGGCGCUAGCCGAGGCCGAGGACAAAGCGGCCAAGGAACGCGCGUCGCGCGAGAAGCACGAGGCCUGGGUUGGCGAGGCGCAACAGCAGCUCCAGGACGCGAUAGAGAAGUUUGAGUCCUUGGAGCGCGAUUUUAAGGUGCAGGAGUCCGAAUUGGCGAAGGCUCGUCAGAGCGCGCAGGAUGCACGAGCCGAGGCCCAGAGCUCCCUCCAGUAGAUUCAAGUGGCCCAGAAAAUUGCGGCGGGGGCAUUUGCAGGUCUGCCGCACAGUGUGUCGGACGCGGCCGAGAAUUAUAGAGCCGGAGAAGGGAUGUCAAUGGAGAAGCUGUUCUGGUCCCAAUAUCUGGGAUCCUAACAUCCGGUGAUCUUCAGCGACCAGCUAAAGCAGCUGGUCGAACUGCACAGGUUGGCCGAACUGGCCAUGAAGACCUGAUAGUCCGGCUGUGGCCUGCCGAUUGUACACCUGUCAGCUAUUUCGGACUUGUGCAGCGGCUGGUGAGUGCCUGUCCGCGGCUCGAAGCCGUGAAGCGGUCGGUCUGUAUUGAAGGUGCGCGUAUGGCUUUUGCUCGCGUCAAGACGCAUUGGGCAAAGCUGGAUGCCAAGAAGCUGAUGACCGAGGGACCGCCAGAGGGCAAGGAGCAUCGUCGACCCGAGCAUUAUUUCGAUGGUGUCCUGGAGGGUUCCCGCCUUGCGGCGGAGGAAUGUUUGAAGGAUAUUAUUUUCCCACAAGAACAUGUGUAUUAUCUUGCCAUGUAAUAUGGAACAAGGAUGUUAUGUAGUAUAAUGUUUAUGAUCUUAAAUUUUUA